UGCGGCGGAAUACUUCUAAUCUGUGGAAGCACCUGCAGUGUUUCACCUACCACUAUUCAAGGGGGGCACCCCGCCCUACCAACCAGACCGCCGUGCCCCCAAGAGGAUCACAGCAUGUAGUAAUAGUUUAACAGUUAAUGUCAUUCGUUUUAUUGGAUCACGUCGUGAAGGAUUUCUGUCCCUGUGUUGUCACUACUCUUCUUUCUAUGGCCAAACAUGGCAAAAGCUGGACGAAAACACACUCAUCAUACUCUGUGUCACCAACGGUGACACUGACACACUGAGUUAGGUGCACUCGAACGGAGGUGAACACAUGCUCCUGACAGCGGACAGAAAGCCAUGCCGCUAAAACCUAGAAAGCACGCAAGGAUAUCUGUGGUUUUAAAAAGCGGCAAAUUUAGUUUUGAUGGCAGCACUUCAUCUCCUGCGAGCUAACUCUCCUACUCUUGGUACAUUUGGCGAAGAUAGAAGUAAACAAAAUAGACCAAGUGAUUCAUGCCCUGACUCUGACACACAGCUAAAGUCCAGUCUCCACCAAAUAAAAGUUUUUUACCUAGUUUCAAACCAUUAAAAUGAAUUUAAUGGUUUGAAACUGAAUUCCUUGGCUUUUAAACUGAAUUUGUUUGCUUUGAAAAUUGCUUUGCUAUGUAUUGAAAAUUCCAUUUGAUAACUUUCAUUUUCUAUUCCAAAAUUCAAUUCCAGUUCCAAAAUUCCGUUUUUUGUGUCACACAUCAAAGUCCUUGAAACCACAGAUUAAUUAAACACAGAAUUACUGAUUCACGGAUGUCAUUCACUAUUGCUGUGUUCAAAUUCAGAUGCGACUUUUAUGGCCAUACAGUGAAGUAAAAACGAAUGCUGUCAGAGAGGUGCUGAUUAUAUUGGUUCAGACACUUUUGGUUUGUUUUACAAGCCCUGCUACUGCAACACAUUGAGGGGCAGAGAAGAAAGAGUGCUUGGAGACCAGCUGCUUUACACCAGCUCUCGCCUCCGUAGUGGGAUCCUAUUCACGUGAUAGAAGAUACACUCUGCCUAGGGAUUUUGUCUUUAACUGUCUCUUUCAAGGAUAAUGCCAGUGAGCUAUUGCUGCAGGUAUUUACUCUUAAUUUUCUUAUCCCAUUGAUACUACUACUGGCUCAGUGCUUUCUUGUUUUAUUGUGUUUCUUAGAUGGAACUACUAAUGGUAUUAGUGAUGUCACUAACGGUGUGUGCUGUAUUCUUUCCCAAAUAAACUACUCCUGGACUGGUG